UUUCCGUAGGUGAACCUGCGGAAGGAUCAUUAAAGUUAUAGUCCCCCGGCCCUCUGGGCUGGGGUCUUCUAUACUACCCUUUGUUUAUUUCACUUUUGUUGCUUUCGUAUUCCUGCCCUCGGGCUGUUGCCCCCGGCCGGCUCGUGUGUGCCCGUGUAGCUAUACUCUGUUUGUAUAUGAAGUAUGAGUACUAUAUCAAAGUUAAAACUUUCAACAACGGAUCUCUUGGUUCUG
rnacentral:misc_RNA from 1 species